GGGCUCCUACGGGAGUCAGACUUCUUCCCCAAACAAGUAGACUUCGUCCGAGCUCCUACGGGAGCCGGACUUCUUCCCCAAACUCCGGCUGCAGGUAGCCUUCGUCCGGGCUCCUACGGGAGCCGGACUUCCACCCUGAACUCCUGUUGCAGGUAGACCUCAUCCGAACUCCUACAAGGGUCAGACUCCAAGCUUCUACUACAAGCGAUCUACUCCGAGCUCCUACUGCAGGCUUUGAUCGAGCUUCCUUGACAUAUGAUCCCCAUCCGGGCUUCUAUGGAGAUCGGACUCCGAUCGAACUUCUGUAGCGGAC
rnacentral:lncRNA from 1 species